GCCGUGGCCUACUGGUUAGCGCUUCGGACUUGUAACCGGAUGGUUGCCGGUUCGAACCCUGACCAGUAGGCA
rnacentral:tRNA from 1 species